CCUACGGGAGGCAGCAGUGGGGAAUAUUGCGCAAUGGGGGAAACCCUGACGCAGCAACGCCGCGUGAGUGAGGAAGGACUUCGGUCUGUAAAGCUCUGUUAAUGUGGAAAAAUGGUAGUUGGUCUAAUAGGCCGAUUAUUUGAUGGUACACAUAGAGGAAGCACCGGCUAACUUCGUGCCAGCAGCCGCGGUAAUACGAAGGGUGCAAGCGUUGUUCGGAUUUAUUGGGCGUAAAGCGCGCGUAGGCGGACCUGCAAGUCAGAUGUGAAAUCUCGGGGCUCAACCUCGAAACUGCGUCUGAAACUACAGGUCUAGAAUCUUGGAGGGGGAAGGGGAAUUUCUCAUGUAGGGGUAAAAUCCGUAGAUAUGAGAAGGAACACCAGAGGCGAAGGCGCCUUCCUGGACAAGUAUUGACGCUGAGGCGCGAAAGCGUGGGGAUCAAACAGGAUUAGAUACCCUGGUAGUCCACGCUGUAAACGAUGAAUACUAGAUAUUGCAGGAUUUGACCCCAGCAGUGUCGUAGCUAACGCGUUAAGUAUUCCGCCUGGGAAGUACGGUCGCAAGACUAAAACUCAAAUGAAAUUGACGG
rnacentral:rRNA from 1 species